rnacentral:lncRNA from 1 species
AAGGCCGAGGCAAGUGCUACAAGUGUGGGCAGCCGGGGCACUUCAUUCGAGAUUGCCCGGGAGGAGGAGCCUCACCUGCCCCAUCGAUUGCAUCGGCGCCAGCGAUUCCGGCUCACUAUGGAGGAGUUCCACCGACGGCCGCGUCGACGGGACGCGUGAUGAUGCCGCGUCAACCUGAAGUGGCGCGAUCGGCCCCGAGCGGACGGGUAUUCGCCGCUCAGGUCCAAGCUAAGGAACCUACGGAGGCGGAGGAGCAUCGCCUUGUGGCAGGUAUGGUUUUAAUUAACGGAGUUCGCUGUAGGGCUUUAUUUGAUACAGGAGCCACGCAUUCAUUC